rnacentral:lncRNA from 1 species
UGGGUGUGUUCCUUCACUUCUGAAACCUUCUAAAAUGGUUAUGGCUAUUAUUUUUUGAGAGUUCACUGGGUUCUAUGCACUGUACUAAGUACUUUUCGUCUAUUAUCUCAUUUAAUCCUUGCUAAAGCUCACAGAUGUGGGUAGUGUCAUCUCUGUUCUACAGGUGAUGGAACUGAGGCAGAGUGGGACCAGGCAAACUCACCUGGGGCCCCUCAGCUAGUGGGUGGUAGGGUCCAAGGCAUGUCUGCCUCUGAAUUCCUGCCUUUAGCCAAUUCAUCAUCAGUCUUCCUCGUCUGUGCAAUGGGGAUCAUUUAACAUGGCUCCACAGGGCUGGGCUGUCCUGGGUGCCAGUGUCUCUGUGAAGCGUGUUAUAAACCUGAAGGUCUGUAGAUCACGAGGUCAGGAGAUUGAGACCAUCUUGGCUAACACGGUGAACCCUGUCUGUACUAAAAAUACAAAAAAUUAGCCGGGCGUGGUGGCUGGCGCCUGUAGACCCAGCUACUGGGAAGGCUGAGGCAGGAGAAUGGCGUGAACCCGGGAGGUGGAGCUUGCAGUGAGCUGAGAUCGUGCCACUGUACUCCAGCCUGGGCAACAGAGCGAGACUCCAUCUCAAAAAAAAAAAAAAAAUCAUGGUUCAUUUUUUUUCACAGCAGUUUAAAAGAUCUCAAGAUUUUUGUUGAUAGAAAAUAAAACAAGGAAAACUAUGUCCAGUGGAUGAGAUGGACCUGAGUUCCCAGUGUACAGGGUAAGGAGACCCAGAGUACCAGCACUCCAUUGUGUUAGGGCCACACACCCACCUCCCACACCCAGAAAGAAAAUGGUACAUGUGGUGGAUUUGAUUCUUUUCCAAAUUUUCCACCUCCUUCAUCGAUUCAUGAUGUAAUCCAAUCGUACAUCCACAGCCUUCCCACAUGACUCCUGGAGGAGCUGGCGGCACAUACAUCCUCUCACCAUUGACAUUAGGUUUAGCCAUGCAACUUGCGUGGUUGAUAGGAGGUUAGUGGUUGUGAUACAGGUAGAAGUUUUAAAUAUGCCUGGGUUUUGCUUGCACUUAAAUGUGCUUGGGUUUCAUUUACACUUCUGUCAUCUACUGUGAGAAGAACAUGCCCUUGAAUGAAAUGCUCAUGUAUGAAAAUACAAAGAUGUGAAGGUAUCAGUCUGGAAGAGCUAUAACCCCAAAUUAUCUCAAUGAUCCUUUUUUUUUUUUUGGUGGCAGCUUUAUUCAGAUAUAAUUCAAUACCAUAGAAAGCAACCAUUUAAAGUAUACAAUUGGCCGGGCGUAGUGGCUCACACCUGUAAUCCCAGCACUUUGGGAGGCCGAGGCGGGUGGAUCAUGAGGUCAGGAGAUCGAGACCAUCCUGGCUAACAUGGUGAAAUCCUGUCUCUACUAAAAAUACAAAAAAUUAGCUGGGCGUGGUGGCAGGCACCUGUAGUCCCAGCUACUUGGGAGGCUGAGGCAGGAGAAUCCCUUGAACUGGGGAGGCGGAGGUUGCAGUGAGCCGAGAUCGCACCAUUGCACUCCAGCCUGGGCAACAGGGAGAGACUCCGUCUCAAAAAAAAAAAAAAAGUAUGCAAUUAGCUAGUUCUUUAUAUAGUCACAGUGUUGUGCAGCCAUCACCAUAAUCAAUUUUAGAACAUGUUCAUAACCUCCAAAAAAAACCCAUAUCUUUAAUGAUUACCUCCCACUCCCCCAACUCCUAGACCCUCUCCCCAGUCUUAGGCAAUCACUCAUCUACUUUCUGUCUCUAUGGAUUUGCCUGUUCUGGACAGUUCAUAUAAAUGGAAUCAUGCAAUAGGCAAUAUUUUGUGACAAGCUUCAUUCGCUUAGCAUGUUUUCAGGAUUUAUCUAUGUUGUAUUACUUAUCAGUACCUUAUUCCUUUUCAUUGCCAAAUAAUAUUCCAUUGUAUGGAUAUACCAGAUUUUAUUCAUUCAUUCAUUUGCUGAUGAACUUAGUGGUACUUUUGACAUAACUGUUAAAAUACAUAGAAGGAAUAAGAGAGGUUCAAUGUGCUUAUAACUUUAUAGGACAAAUGACUUUAUUGCAAUGUACUGUUCCAUCCAUGCAUUAGUUCCAUUUCUCAUAGUAAAUAAGUUGGCAUGUGAUUUACUAUAAGUCUCUCUGAGACUUACUUGCCUAAACCAGUGUCCCCAGGUAUAACCAGCUUGCAAUCAUAGACAAAGUGAUGUUUCUGUAGAGCUGACGCCAGAGUCUGGAUGGGUAAAUUUUCGAAGGCAAAUGCUCCCUCAGAUACAGGGGGUCCAGCCAAUCUUUCUGGGCUACUGCCUGUGAUGUUUAUUAUGGGCUUAAAAAAUUCUACAUAGUUUAUGAAGUCUGAAAGCUUCUUUCCGUGAAACAUAGUAAUUAAAUCAUUUCUUUUGUCUGUUCCCUUGUGUGUGAUGAUGGUAUCAGAAAUCUCAGUGUUACUUCUUCCUUCCUGGCCUGAAUUCUUGGACAUCUCUAUUUUAUUGAGCUUGUAAGUUUACCAAUGCCCAGAUUCAAAUACAUCUGUGUAUAUCACUCACAUUCCACAAAGGAGCUCUGUCAUCUGGAUUAUAAUGAAGACACCACAGUGAGUAAGGGGACUAUGGAGUCCUGCCAGGCCCAAAAUGUGACAUGUCAGACUAGAGCAAUUUUCUGUGGAGUGGUGACAGUUAACCAUAGGGUUGGAGUAAAUAUCUCAAGAGUGUGCACUAUUAAAAAACCCCCAAUAUUUUGUCUCAUUGCUUUGAUUUAUUUUUGUCUCAAUAUUUAAUUUAGAUUGAAUGUCAAUUAUUAUUAA